GAUGAACGCUGGCGGCGUGCCUAAUACAUGCAAGUCGAGCGAACGGACGAGAAGCUUGCUUCUCUGAUGUUAGCGGCGGACGGGUGAGUAACACGUGGAUAACCUACCUAUAAGACUGGGAUAACUUCGGGAAACCGGAGCUAAUACCGGAUAAUAUUUUGAACCGCAUGGUUCAAAAGUGAAAGACGGUCUUGCUGUCACUUAUAGAUGGAUCCGCGCUGCAUUAGCUAGUUGGUAAGGUAACGGCUUACCAAGGCAACGAUGCAUAGCCGACCUGAGAGGGUGAUCGGCAACACUGGAACUGAGACACGGUACAGACUCCUACGGGAGGCAGCAGUAGGGAAUCUUCCGCAAUGGGCGAAAGCCUGACGGAGCAACGCCGCGUGAGUGAUGAAGGUCUUCGGAUCGUAAAACUAUGUUAUUAGGGAAGAACAUAUGUGUAAGUAACUGUGCACAUCUUGACGGUACCGAAUCAGAAAGCCACGGCUAACUACGUG
rnacentral:rRNA from 1 species